rnacentral:rRNA from 1 species
CCGGNAAAAAAUCNGUGAGGUUAAUAUCCUCAUCNNAUNAUGGUACCGGANUAAGAAGCACCNGCUAAUUANGUGCCAGCAGCCGCGGUAAUACGUAGGGUNCGAGCGUUAAUCGGAAUUANUGGGCGUAAAGCGUGCGCANNCNGUUUUUUAAGACAGGCGUGAAAUCCCCGGGCUUAACCUGGGAANUGCGUUUGUGACUGGAAGGCUAGAGUACGGCAGAGGGGGGUGGAAUUCCACGUGUAGCAGUGAAAUGCGUAGAGAUGUGGAGGAACACCAAUGGCGAAGGCAGCCCCCUGGGUCGAUACUGACGCUCAUGCACGAAAGCGUGGGGAGCAAACAGGAUUAGAUACCCUGGUAGUCCACGCCCUAAACGAUGUCAACUAGGUGUUGGGUGGGUAAAACCAUUUAGUACCGGAGCUAACGCGNAAGUUGACCGCCNGGAG